rnacentral:rRNA from 1 species
AUUGAACGCUGGCGGCAGGCCUAACACAUGCAAGUCGAACGGUAACAGGAAGCAGCUUGCUGCUUUGCUGACGAGUGGCGGACGGGUGAGUAAUGUCUGGGAAACUGCCCGAUGGAGGGGGAUAACUACUGGAAACGGUAGCUAAUACCGCAUAACGUCGCAAGACAAAAGAGGGGGACCUUAGGGCCUCUUGCCAUCGGAUGUGCCCAGAUGGGAUUAGCUAGUAGGUGGGGUAACGGCUCACCUAGGCGACGAUCCCUAGCUGGUCUGAGAGGAUGACCAGCCACACUGGAACUGAGACACGGUCCAGACUCCUACGGGAGGCAGCAGUGGGGAAUAUUGCACAAUGGGCGCAAGCCUGAUGCAGCCAUGCCGCGUGUAUGAAGAAGGCCUUCGGGUUGUAAAGUACUUUCAGCGGGGAGGAAGGGAGUAAAGUUAAUACCUUGGCUCAUUGACGUUACCCGCAGAAGAAGCACCGGCUAACUCCGUG